GGCCGAAUAGCUCAGUUGGUUAGAGCGUCGAGCUAAUAGGUCUAAUACAUCUGGUACUCGAAGGUCUUGGGUUCGACCCCCACUUUGGCCA